UACGUAGGGGGCAAGCGUUGUCCGGAUUUAUUGGGCGUAAAGCGCGUGUAGGCGGCCAUGUAGGUCUGACGUGAAAUUCCGAGGCUCAACCUCGGCAGGUCGUUGGAAACCAUAUGGCUAGAGUCCGGAAGAGGAGAGUGGAAUUCCUGGUGUAGCGGUGAAAUGCGCAGAUAUCAGGAAGAACACCAAUGGCGAAGGCAGCUCUCUGGGACGGUACUGACGCUGAGACGCGAAAGCGUGGGGAGCGAACAGGAUUAGAUACCCUGGUAGUCCACGCCGUAAACGAUGGGUGCUAGGUGUGGGCGGUGUCGACUCCGUCCGUGCCGCAGCUAACGCAUUAAGCACCCCGCCUGGGGAGUACGGCCGCAAGGCUAAA
rnacentral:rRNA from 1 species